rnacentral:rRNA from 1 species
CCUACGGGAGGCAGCAGUGGGGAAUAUUGCACAAUGGGGGAAACCCUGAUGCAGCAAAGCCGCGUGAAGGAAGACGGUUCUCGGAUUGGAAACUUCUGUUCUUAGUGAAGUAUAAUGACGGUAGCUAAGGAGCAAGCCACGGCUAACUACGUGCCAGCAGCCGCGGUAAUACGUAGGUGGCAAGCGUUGUCCGGAAUUACUGGGUGUAACGGGAGCGCAGGCGGGAAGUCAAGUCAGCUGUGAAAACUACGGGCUUAACUUGUAGACUGCAGUUGAAACUGGUUUUCUUGAGUGAAGUAGAGGUUGGCGGAAUUCCGGGUGUAGCGGUGAAAUGCGUAGAUAUUCGGAGGAACACCGGUGGCGAAGGCGGCCAACUGAGCUUUAACUGACACUGAGGCUCGAAAGUGUGGGGAGCAAACAGGAUUAGAUACCCUUGUAGUC